AGCGAACGCUGGCGGCAGGCUUAACACAUGCAAGUCGAGCGGGCACUUCGGUGUCAGCGGCAGACGGGUGAGUAACACGUGGGAACGUACCCUUUGGUUCGGAAUAACGCUGGGAAACUAGCGCUAAUACCGGAUACGCCCUUUUGUGGAAAGGCUUGCUGCCGAAGGAUCGGCCCGCGUCCGAUUAGCUAGUUGGUGGGGUAAUGGCCUACCAAGGCGACGAUCAGUAGCUGGUCUGAGAGGAUGAUCAGCCACACUGGGACUGAGACACGGCCCAGACUCCUACGGGAGGCAGCAGUGGGGAAUAUUGGACAAUGGGCGCAAGCCUGAUCCAGCCAUGCCGCGUGAGUGAUGAAGGCCUUAGGGUUGUAAAGCUCUUUUGUCCGGGACGAUAAUGACGGUACCGGAAGAAUAAGCCCCGGCUAACUUCGUG
rnacentral:rRNA from 1 species